rnacentral:rRNA from 1 species
UUAACCCUGAGCGUGCUUUCGAUACGGGUUGACUGAGGAAGGUAGGGGAGAAUGGAAUUCCUGGUGGAACGGUGGAAUGCGCAGAUAUCAGGAGGAACACCAGUGGCGAAGGCGGUUCUCUGGGCCUUUCCUGACGCUGAGGAGCGAAAGCGUGGGGAGCGAACAGGCUUAGAUACCCUGGUAGUCCACGCUGUAAACGGUGGGUACUAGGUGUGGGGUCCAUUCCACGGGUUCCGUGCCGUAGCUAACGCUUUAAGUACCCCGCCUGGGGAGUACGGCCGCAAGGCUAAAACUCAAAGGAAUUGACGGGGCCCCGCACAAGCGGCGGAGCAUGCGGAUUAAUUCGAUGCAACGCGUAGAACCUUACCUGGGUUUGACAUGGAUCGGGAGUGCUCAGAGAUGGGUGUGCCUCUUUUGGGGUCGGUUCACAGGUGGUGCAUGGCUGUCGUCAGCUCGUGUCGUGAGAUGUUGGGUUAAGUCCCGCAACGAGCGCAACCCUUGUUCACUGUUGCCAGCACGUUAUGGUGGGGACUCAGUGGAGACCGCCCGGGGUCAACUCGGAANGAAGGUGGGGAUGACGUCAAGUCAUCAUGCCCCUUAUGUCCAGGGCUUCACGCAUGCUACAAUGGCUGGUACAGAGAGUGGCGAGCCUGUGAGGUUGAGCGAAUCUCGGAAAGCCGGUCUCAGUUCGGAUUGGGGGUCUGCAACUCGACCUCAUGAAGU